ACUUCUGGUAAGUGUCUCUGACUGUUCCACGUACAUUGGCAGUUGGCUCCUCAGGUGCAGGAUCCAUUAUCACAUAUAGGAUCCGUUCAUGCUCCAGGACUAUCUUCAACUUUCGAUACCAGCUACCGAAGUUGGAUCCCACCAACUUAUCAUUGUCCAACAAUGAUCGGAGCGAUAGGGAAGUGGCCAUAUUUGCACAAAGGAGAACCAUAACCUAAUUAGUAAUUGAUUCAUUAAACCUAAAGAUUUGGACUUUAAUCAAAAGGUUUCUCCCACUAUUUUAUUCGAAUCGAUAGCCUCUACCUCCAAUUCGAGGAAUUACC
rnacentral:lncRNA from 1 species